AUUGAACGCUGGCGGCAGGCCUAACACAUGCAAGUCGAACGAGUGGCGGACGGGUGAGUAAUGUCUGGGAAACUGCCUGAUGGAGGGGGAUAACUACUGGAAACGGUAGCAAAUACCGCAUACCAUCAGAUGUGCCCAGAUGGGAUUAGCUAGUUGGUUGGGUAACGGCUCAACAAGGCGACGAUCCCUAGCUGGUCUGAGAGGAUGACCAGCCACACUGGAACUGAUGCACGGGCCAGACACCUACAGGAGGCAUCAGUGGGUGAUAUUGCACAAGGGGCGCAAGCCUGAUGCAGCCAAGCCGCGUGUAUGAAUAAGGCCUUCGGGUUGUAAAGUACUUUCAGCGGGGAGGCGUUACCCGCAGAAGAAGCACCGGCUAACUCCGUGCCAGCAGCCGCGGUAAUUC
rnacentral:rRNA from 1 species